rnacentral:rRNA from 1 species
CACGUAGGGCGCAAGCGUUGUCCGGAAUUAUUGGGCGUAAAGAGCUCGUAGGCGGUCUGUUGCGUCCGCUGUGAAAACCCGGGGCUUAACCCUGGGCUGGCAGUGGAUACGGACAGACUAGAGGUAGGUAGGGGAGAAUGGAAUUCCCGGUGUAGCGGUGAAAUGCGCAGAUAUCGGGAGGAACACCGGUGGCGAAGGCGGUUCUCUGGGCCUUACCUGACGCUGAGGAGCGAAAGCUAGGGGAGCAAACGGG